rnacentral:lncRNA from 1 species
AUUAAGAGGUUAUCCAUUGAAAUAUAGUCUUAACGACAAGACGUAUGUAUGUAAAUAAAUAGAGUUAUGAUGUCGGUGAUUUAAAUUAUAUAGGACGACAAACUCUUUUCAAAAUGGAUGUAGUUGACUUUUUUGGAUAUUUUUGUUUUUAUUUCUUUGGAGUUCUCUUUUCAGGUAAUCACUAGAUUGGUAUAUAAAUUAUUUUAACAAACUAUAAUAAUGAUAGUGGAUACAUAGAGUCUAUUAUAAGGGAAGUCACUUAGGAAGUGACAGACACUGUCUUGAUAUGUUUAGAACUAUUGAAAUAAAGUUUAGAAUGGAAAUGGGGAAUGUGCCAAAGAGACAACAACCCGACCAAAGAGCAGACAAAAGCCGAAGGUCACCAAUGGGUCUUCAAUGCAGCAAGAAUUCCUAUAUAUUAUUAUUAUUUCUGCGUGUUAUAUGUACAUUAUUGAUACCACAUAUUUAUUUCGCCAUGUCAUAUUUCUGCUAUUAAUUAUGAUCUUUUGUUACACAUUUAUCUGUGACGGAAUUUUCAAAUAAAAUCUUGAACCUUAAAAGAAAGGAAGUGUGGGGUAUAGUUACCUCCACUUACUUCUAGAUCGGAGUUUCUUUCUAACAUCGACAUCAGGGGAAUCUAACAUAAUAAAACUAUUAUCAAUUGAGAGAUUGAGAGACAGAAAAACUUAAGAGAUCACAACCUUUUGUUAAGUUAAAUACUAUACCUUAUCUUGCAUCUGUUCCUUUUUGAAAUGUGUUUUUGUUAUUGUUUUGCUUCACUGUUAUUUGUUCAUUCAUUUACAGAACUCAAACAUUGAAAAAAUGUUUGAAAUAAAGUUAUUUGCUUAUUAUUUUUCCAACCUCUUCCCAUUUCUAUGUUUAAUUAUUAAUAUAUGUGUCUUUAAGUUAACAUAUUUGCUAUUGGGCGUAACAUAAGAUGUCCAUUACUAGAAUUGAAUAUAUCUAUUUUCGUCUAUAAUCAAUAUAUGUCUAGUCAUAUUCAUGUGAUAUGGCUUGAUUACUUCAUGAUUUUACGUACCCUUCUUGGGGUAUAAAGAUAAGAAGUGUUAAAGCAAGUAAUUUGUUAUAUCUCUUAAUUAGCAAACUAUUAGAUAAAGGUAUAAAAAAGAGACACUAUAGAGAUUCGUGGCGUAGACAUUCACUGAGAUCAAAUUAAAGAUUACAAGAUUCAAUUUUUGAUUUUCAAAUUUCACAUUGAUUUUUAACAAGUUAAUAAAAGAUAUAAACUAUAUCAUUGCAUUUAAAUAUUGGGUAAUUUUUCUUUGUAUCCAAUAUUUUGUUAUGCGCACUACUCGUUGCUUAUAUAUAAUCCCCUUGCAUACAUUUUCCAAAGUCAAAAUGUGGAACGUCCUUUGAUAUUUCAAAGCUUCUUGGUAUAUAUAAGAAAUAAUAAAUACGCAAUUCCAUACAGGUACAAAAUAUCCAGAAUACCAGAAGUUCUGUUAAAUACUUUAAAUAUAGAAUGAGUUCUUGACUUCAUGGAGAUUAUGGCAUUUAUAGAAUCUCUGAUGUCCAGUUUUAUUUUUGUUAAGGUCAAUGUAAAAUAAAUCGGACCACAAAACUAUAAUUUUACCAUGGUUUUUAUACCAGAACAACUGUUUAAUGGUAACAAUUCUGUUGUACGACCGAACACAAAUUCAAUGAAGAAAUCUUUUGCAUAUAGCUCAUCAAUACUUUGGAAUAAACUACCAAAUGAAAUAAAAUGUUGUGAAAACCUGGACACUUUUAAACAAAAAUGUGUUGAUUUCUUGACUAUAAAUGAUUUAUAACAACUUACUCAAAUAUUCUAAUGAUUUGUAUUUUAUGUAUAUAUAUAUAUAUAUAUAUAUAUAUAUAUAUAUAUAUAUAUAUAUAUAUAUGAAUUUAUUUUUCUCUUGUUCUACAGACACCUUAUAGUUGAAUAUUGCAUUUACAUAAUAUGUUAGAAACUGUAAGCUUUGUAAUAUUUGUACUGUUUGUUCUUUGUGAGGGCCUCAAGGUAGAUUAGCGAAAGCUAAUUGAGUCACCCUCUUUAAAUAAAGUCAUUACUUACUUACUUACUUACUUAUCAAUAAUUUAAGGACUGUUUUCUCUAUUUCAGUAUGUCCUGUCAGUUCUAGCCAUAGUAGAAGAUAUCACCACUAUAAUUCUUACUACUACUAUUAUUAUGAGGGAUAUGAUGGGU